UACGUAGGCAGCAAACGUUGUUCGGAAUUACUGGGCGUAAAGAGUGUGUAGGCGGUUUCGUAAGUUUGGGGUGAAAUCUCCCGGCUUAACUGGGAGGGUGCGCCGAAAACUGCGAGGCUUGAGUACUGGAGAGGAGAGCGGAAUUCCUGGUGUAGCGGUGAAAUGCGUAGAUAUUAGGAGGAACACCGGUGGCGAAGGCGGCUACCUGGACCGAUAUUGACGCUGAGACGCGAAAGCGUGGGGAGCAAACAGG
rnacentral:rRNA from 1 species